GCAGAUAGUGCAGUUGGCAGAAUAUGAGGCUCUUAAUCUCAGGGUUGUGGGUUCGAACCCCAUGUUGGGCA